AUUUUCUUAGUAUAAAAAGUAUAAUUAAUUUCCAAUUAAAAGGUUAAAAAAAAUUAAGAAAAUA
rnacentral:tRNA from 1 species